AGAAAGAGCGCUGGAACUGCUAAUUCCACACUCCAUAGUUAACACUAUGGCUUUCUU
rnacentral:tRNA from 1 species